ACACGCUACUGAUCCCUGAUGGGAGAAUCAUCACCUCUGCCAACAAAGAAGCCUGGUGGAUAUUUGUUUACAGUCUGAUGAUGGGACAUCAUGCUCUGCAUCUUCAAAGUUUGUCUCUUGAUUAUUAUUCAUACACAGUAAUGUGAAUUAUGCUUAUAUCUAGUAUAACUGGACCAACCUGGUGCUCUUCAUUUAUGGAGGCUGUUUGAGUCUGAAUGUUGGAUGUUGUGUAUCUCUUGUUCUCUGGGCUUUGUUGUCCUCAGUCUUUUUGCAGAAUCAGAAAACAAAACCAGGAUGACCAUAAAUGUUUCUUCUCCAGUUGGACGAUGAUAAGACCGUGACACGGGAUGCCACCUUUAGUCUUGUGAUGAAGCAAAGCUCAGGACGAAGUGUGAUUAAAUGGUACCCACAUGUGUGCUGCUGAGAAGGAUGUACAGGGGCACCUGCAGCCAAAUCCAAGCCUCCUCAGAGCACAGCGGCAGUUUGUGCUCACAGAUGGUGACGGUGUGGAGAGACGGUGGUGUUUCAUCAGAAGCAGAAGAACUAGCAGAGUCACCAAGGGCACGAGUCCAUCUCACCACCUUGACUUGCUGACUGAUGCUCGUCUGCACUGCACAGAGGAAAUCAACUGAUCGAGGAGUGUUUCUGGGUGAGGGAGAGAGGAGUCAUCAUCCAGGUAAAGUGACGUGGAUCAGUGGACACACUUGUCUCCCCUUUAAAGGAGAUAGAGAGACAAUCCGAGUCAUCCCUAAAUCUCUUAGAUGGGCAGGAUAUCAGUCUUGGACUGUCUAACCUGCCGGAGCAGCACUGAAUGACCACCACACAUGAGCAUGUUCCUGCAACAUUCAGCAGCUUUGCUUUUGUGUCAAAUGUCCAACAGCUGGAGAGGAAACUAAACCAGUACUGGGCUGUUUCACCAACACGUGCCAGAUGCUGUUCCUUCAUGGUGACAUCAACAGAGACAGCCCCGCCCACCUAAUGAUCUCGCCAUUGAUCAUGAUGAUUAUAGUGAUGACAGCGAGCGGAACUAAGACUGUAAAAAUCCAUGACCAGAAUGUUUAUAUGCUUUCUAAUUAUUAAUGAAUA